rnacentral:rRNA from 1 species
UGCAUCUGACGUAGGCAGAGACGUCUACUCCCUUCGGGGCAGAUGUGUAGGUGCUGCAUGGUUGUCGUCAGCUCGUGCCGUGAGAUGUCGGCUUAAGUGCCAUAACGAGCGCAACCCUCAUCGUUAGUUACCAUCAGGUUAAGCUGGGGACUCUAACGAGACUGCCAUCGUAAGAUGCGAGGAAGGUGGGGAUGACGUCAAAUCAGCACGGCCCUUACGUCCGGGGCGACACACGUGUUACAAUGGGUGGUACAAAGGGCAGCUACCUGGCGACAGGAUGCCAAUCUCCAAAACCACUCUCAGUUCGGAUCGGAGUCUGCAACUCGACUCCGUGAAGCUGGAUUCGCUAGUAAUCGCGCAUCAGCCACGGCGCGGUGAAUACGUUCCCGGGCCUUGUACACACCGCCCGUCAAGCCAUGGAAGCCGGGGGUACCUGAAGUCCGUAACCGUCAAGGAGCGGCCUAGGGUAAAACUGGUAACUGGGGCU